CUUGAGUGUGGCAGUGGGUGCAGGGGUUUCUUGGACACACUCCUUGGUUUUCUACAGGUAUGUUCCCAUACAUGGAACUGUGGGAUCCUGUGGUAGAUCUAUUUGUAUUUUUUCAAGGAACAUCCAUUCUGUUUUGCAUAGUGACUGUCCCAAUGUGCAUUCCCACCAAUGGUGCUCAGAGCUUCCCUUUUCUCCAUGGCAUCCUCAGCAGCAUCUGUUAGCUCUUGUCUUCUUAAUGACAGCUAAAUUCCAACUGAUGUGAUAUCUCAUUAUGCUCUUCAUUGCAUUUUUCUGAUGGUUAGUCAUGGUCAGGACAUUUUUCCCUACAUGUUUCUCAUGUGUUUAUGUUGUUCUGGAAGUGCCAGACACUGGACACUGUGUCUGUGGCCCAGCGAUAAGACUAGUCUCCAUGAGAUCUUCAGGGUCGUACUUUGGACAUACAGGGGUGGGUGCAGAAGCACUCUUCUGGCUGAGGUGAGGGUGUGGAAUAGUAAAGAGGACACCCUGCGAGUGGACAGAAAAGGAGGAAAGGGAGGGUUCUGAGGCCGUUUCUUCUGCCGUUGGAGCCU